UGAAGCGCCAGUCAGGCGGAGCUGGGGCCAAAAGACAUGGGGUCUUCACAGAGGUUGUUACCUUUAAUCAUUUAAUUCCUACGGACCACUUAGGUGAUGCCCUGUUUCAAGCCUCCAACCUGGAGAAUGAAGUCUGUAAGGAUUUUAGUGCAAGUCAAAAUGUCUUGGAGGACUCACUGAAGAACAUGCUUAGCAACAAGGAUCCUAUGCUAGGAUCUUCAAGGCUCAAACUCGGGACCUUGAGCUUUUGAGGCAGGCAACGGCACCACUGAGCUAAAUCCCCGGCCGGCUUUUCAUUAUUUUUUAGGACUCCACCUUUAAUAGUGUUAAGACAUUUUCUUCCCAUUCACAGUGUAUUUUUAUUUGCUAGCUUUUUUAAGAAAAGGAAAACAAGAUGAAGUGGAAUGGGCAUCUACAAGAUUGUCCUGAUCAAGUGUUCAUAUUGCUGUUGAAGCUGCUACCAACAGUGAUAAGAAAAAGAAAUAAAA
rnacentral:lncRNA from 1 species